UACGAAGGGGGCUAGCGUUGCUCGGAAUCACUGGGCGUAAAGCGCACGUAGGCGGAUUGUUAAGUCAGGGGUGAAAUCCUGGAGCUCAACUCCAGAACUGCCUUUGAUACUGGCGAUCUUGAGUCCGGGAGAGGUGAGUGGAACUGCGAGUGUAGAGGUGAAAUUCGUAGAUAUCGAGAGGAACACCGGUGGCGAAGGCGGCCAACUGGACGAAUACUGACGCUGAGACUCGAAAGCGUGGGGAGCAAACAGG
rnacentral:rRNA from 1 species